ACGGCCAUUUUUUCCAGGCGGACUGCCAGAUCCCACAUUCCCCAGGCUCCAUAUAUGGGCCUCUCACAGGCCCCUGUGCCCAUAGCCUUGCCUCUGAGGGGACCAAGGCCGCCUGGCAAGUCAGGAAGCAUCUCAUUUAAUCUUCGUAACACCCCCAAGAGAUGGAUGUUCUUCUGCAGGUGAGGAAACUGGGGUGCAGAGAGGUGAAGCAGCAUGUCCAUGCUUACCCUACGGGUGGAGGCCCCUUCUUAAAUGUGUUGUCCCUUCUCUUUUCUCCUGAGCAUCUAGGACAAACUAGACCCACAAAGACUCUUCACUCAGGAGGCAGUUCUUCGGCCAAGGGCACCUCUCACCUGUGAGCUCUUUUCAGCGUAGGAAGGAUUCUGGAUUCUCUGUGGACCCCGUGGUCUCUGUAGCCUUCCCUGAACAGCCAGGACCCUCUAUCUGUGGAGGUCCCAGCCGUCCCGUUACUUGCUUGCCUGUGACAAAUAUGGGGCUGGCACUUCAGCGGGGAGAAGAAGCAGCAGGAGUUGAUCAAUUCCUAAGCAACAAAGAUCCUGUUUUCAUGCAAACGUCCUCGGCAUUAAAACAAAAACAAAUUCUUCCCGGGGCGCGUCCUGGAUGCCAAGUCUCCUUGCAAGACACAUUUUUAAGCGGGGUUCUGCGCCUGCGUGAGAGACUAACGGGGAAUGGGAGGAGAGCUGUGAGCCAGGUUGUCAGGAGGCAAUGCAGGACCUUAAGGUGGCAUGGCAACAAGUGCCUUGAGUUCUGAGCAGGUAGGGACCACCAAGGGCUUCCUGGAGGAGGGAGUUAUUCCGAUUCAACUCAGCGGUCUCCUGACUGAUGGUGUUGGCCUGAUCUUGCAGGACCUGGGUGCCCACCAAUGCCAGCACUAUUGGAACAUCGCCAGGGUCACUGGGCUAGCCCAACAGUUACAGAAACAUCCACAGGGCAUCUGGCCUCCAGUUGGCUCCAGCCGUUUUGUCCUUUAUGAACCCGGGGGUUCAAAGGCAACACUGUUAACAGCUCAAGGGCAGGGCCACACAAUUCACUUUCGGCCAAUAACUAGCAAUACCAGGACUGCAGCAUUUUAGUGCUGCAAGAUCACCUGCUACCACCCCCUUACCGAUGAUGCCUUGCCCAAGGCUCCCGGUCCAGCCAAGACUCCAGCUCAAACCUCUUUUCUCCUGCUCUCUGAGACCUUCUGCGCAGCCUCCUUUUCUCACACUGUGGAGGUAUUCUCUGGCUUCAGCACAUGCCCAGAAGCACUAUUGGGCUGGGUACUGGGAGACACGGAGCACACGGCACCAGGCUGCAGUCUUCUCAAGGUAGCCUGCGAGCAAUUCCAGGGUAGGAGGAGCGCCUUCCCAAUGCAUCUCUCUUCCCAGCGCCUACCACAGCAAGGGGGACAGGGCAGGCAAAGGUCUGGUGCGGGGCACAGUAAAUGGGCAAGUCUGGCAGGAUUAAAGGGCCCAUAAAGGGGCUUUGUGGCAAGAAUCAGCUAAUUAGAGUGGAAAGAGCAUGGACUUGGGGUAGAAAAGAUGUGGGCUGGCAUCCAACACUGUCACCAUGUUGGGGGAUUGAGAGGGUUCCCCAUUAUCCAUGUUCUCUUCCUGCCAAGCAUGCAGCUGGACUCCACUUCCCAGUCUUCCUUGCAGUUAGGAUGGUCACGUGGCUACACUCUGGCCAAUGGACUGAAAGCGGAAGUAAUGUGGGGCAAUUUCAGGCCCAGCCCCUGAAAACUUCCCACAUGUGGUUCUUCAUCUACCAAUUGACCCAGAGUGCUCCCAGGACCGGGUUCCCGAAUCCCUGUGUGGAAGACCACCUGCCAAACAUCUGCACUGAAUCGUGUUUGCAGGAAAUAAACUCCUUAAAGCGUUACGCUAUUAAAAUUUGGGGGUUACCGCUGUUAGCCCAACCUAAUACAGUCUCUUACUAGCCAUGUGGCUUUGGAUAAGUUUCUUAACCUCCUGAAGCUCCAAUUUCCUCAUCUGUAAAAUGAGAAUUUAAAAAACCUUCCUGAGAAUGACUGGGCUAACAUUUGUGAAGAUCUCACAAUUAAGGCUGCAUUAUGACUUUUGUGAGCCCUACACAUUUUUGCCUUUAUGGGUC